GAGGGUAUAGCUCAGUGGUAAAGUGCAUGCUUAGCAUGCACAAGGUUCUGGGUUCAAUCCUCAGUAUCUCCG
rnacentral:tRNA from 1 species